rnacentral:rRNA from 1 species
GACGAACGUUUGCGGCGUGCUUAACACAUGCAAGUCGAACGGUAAGGCUCCAGCUUGCUGGGGUACACGAGUGGCGAACGGGUGAGUAACACGUGGGUGACCUGCCCUGCACUUCGGGAUAAGCCUGGGAAACUGGGUCUAAUACCGGAUAGGACCGCACCGUGAGGGUGUGGUGGAAAGUUUUUUCGGUGUGGGAUGGGCCCGCGGCCUAUCAGCUUGUUGGUGGGGUAAUGGCCUACCAAGGCGGCGACGGGUAGCCGGCCUGAGAGGGUGGACGGCCACAUUGGGACUGAGACACGGCCCAGACUCCUACGGGAGGCAGCAGUGGGGAAUAUUGCACAAUGGGCGGAAGCCUGAUGCAGCGACGCCGCGUGGGGGAUGACGGCCUUCGGGUUGUAAACUCCUUUCACCAUCGACGAAGGGUUUCUGACGGUAGAUGGAGAAGAAGCACCGGCUAACUACGUGCCAGCAGCCGCGGUAAUACGUAGGGUGCGAGCGUUGUCCGGAAUUACUGGGCGUAAAGAGCUCGUAGGUGGUUUGUCGCGUCGUCUGUGAAAUUCCGGGGCUUAACUCCGGGCGUGCAGGCGAUACGGGCAUAACUUGAGUACUGUAGGGGAGACUGGAAUUCCUGGUGUAGCGGUGAAAUGCGCAGAUAUCAGGAGGAACACCGGUGGCGAAGGCGGGUCUCUGGGCAGUAACUGACGCUGAGGAGCGAAAGCAUGGGGAGCGAACAGGAUUAGAUACCCUGGUAGUCCAUGCCGUAAACGGUGGACGCUAGGUGUGGGUUUCCUUCCACGGGAUCCAUGCCGUAGCUAACGCAUUAAGCGCCCCGCCUGGGGAGUACGGCCGCAAGGCUAAAACUCAAAGGAAUUGACGGGGGCCCGCACAAGCGGCGGAGCAUGUGGAUUAAUUCGAUGCAACGCGAAGAACCUUACCUGGGCUUGACAUAUACAGGAUCGCGCCAGAGAUGGUGUUUCCCUUGUGGCUUGUAUACAGGUGGUGCAUGGUUGUCGUCAGCUCGUGUCGUGAGAUGUUGGGUUAAGUCCCGCAACGAGCGCAACCCUUGUCUUAUGUUGCCAACACGUUGUGGUGGGGACUCGUAAGAAACUGCCGGGGUUAACUCGGAGGAAGGUGGGGAUGACGUCAAAUCAUCAUGCCCCUUAUGUCCAGGGCUUCACACAUGCUACAAUGGUCGGUACAGUGGGUUGCCAGUCCGUGAGGGCGAGCUAAUCCCGCAAAGCCGGUCUCAGUUCGGAUCGGGGUCUGCAACUCGACCCCGUGAAGUCGGAGUCGCUAGUAAUCGCAGAUCAGCAACGCUGCGGUGAAUACGUUCCCGGGCCU